CCCUUAGAUGUUCUGGGCCGCACGCGCGUUACACUGAUGCAUUCAACGAGCUUAUAACCUUGGCCGAGAGGCCUGGGCAAUCUUGUUAACGUGCAUCGUGAUAGGGAUAGAUUAUUGAAAUUAUUAAUCUUGAACGAGGAGUUCCUAGUAAACGCAGAUCAUCAAUCUGCAUUGAUUACGUCCCUGCCCUUUGUACACACCGCCCGUCGCACCUACCGAUUGGAUGGUCCGGUGAAGCCUCGGGAUUGUGGUUCUUGCCGCUUUAUUGUAGCGUGACCGCGAGAACUUGUCUAAACCUUAUCAUCUAGAGGAAGGUGAAGUCGUAACA
rnacentral:rRNA from 1 species